ensembl:lncRNA
AAAUCACACUAAUCCGUGCAUACACGUGUAUUGCACACUGAUGAAAUUGCUCAUUAAAAAGAUUAUUUAUAAUUACAUUUAUAGUUAUUUGUGAGGUGACUUUUUUUUUCUUUAGACAUAUGAUCAGUUCAUUGUUACGUGCUUGGGUACAACGCCAACAACGUUUCAGCAGCACGUGGACCUGUGAACGCGGGAGAACAGCAGAGCGUGCAGACCUGGUCCCAUGAUCGGCCUAAUAAUUAAAGCUAUCCUGCAACCGGCGCCGUACUGCUGUGCUGCAUGCGCAUCAGGGGCCCAUGACAUGAUACAGAGGGACAGCUUAACUAUUAAAUAUCCAUCACGCCACGCCACAUCAGUCCUAAUGCAAUCAGAAACACAUGACUACAUCGCCCGGGCCCCCACUUCAAUCCACAAUGAUUAAAUGACAGUUCGAUUUGAUUGGGAAGAGGGGGGAUCUACUGUAGCUGCGCAGACUUAUUCGAGGCUUUGUGUACUUCAGAGAGAACGCACGUGGGCUGUGGUCUUUUUGCUGUAUUAUCAUUUUAAUGAAGCAGGGUAUUUCUUUUGUGGUCGGGAGGCUCUAAUGCAGUUGUCCAAGACUCCCCUUUCAUCUGUCUUCUUCAAAUGCUCGAGGUUGUUAAACAAAUGGAUGUGUCUGAGUAUAUAACGCUGAUGUGGCCAGGCUGUUGUUGACUGGGCCAAUUAGGGCUCAGAGAGAAAAGAAUAAGGCAUGUCUGUUCACUCACUCAAACCGUCAUACAAUACAGUCUGGCUGCUUUGUGUUUAUUAAAAUCACCUGGAUCCUUAAGGAUUUUGUAGAACACACCGUAGUAUGACAUUGCUAUCUGACGAUUUUCAUUAUCAGGACUUCCUGUACUGUUUUUAUCUUGCUAAUUAGCAUCUAAUUAUAAUAAAAAUGUUUUCCUCCUACCUGAUAUGUCAUGAAUUACCCGAUACCGUUGUCUCCGUGUUUAAAUGAGUGAGCAUCUUUAGAAAAAUGUUUAAUUUUAC